CGCGGCGGACGGGGCUCGAACCCGCGACCCCCGGCGUGACAGGCCGAUAUUCUAACCAACUGAACUACCGCCGC
rnacentral:tRNA from 1 species